AACGAACGCUGGCGGCAGGCCUAACACAUGUAAGUCGAGCGAACCCUUCGGGGUUAGCGGCGGACGGGUGAGUAACGCGUGGGAACGUGCCCUUUGCUACGGAAUAGCCCCGGGAAACUGGGAGUAAUACCGUAUGUGCCCUUCGGGGGAAAGAUUUAUCGGCAAAGGAUCGGCCCGCGUUGGAUUAGGUAGUUGGUGGGGUAAUGGCCUACCAAGCCGACGAUCCAUAGCUGGUUUGAGAGGAUGAUCAGCCACACUGGGACUGAGACACGGCCCAGACUCCUACGGGAGGCAGCAGUGGGGAAUCUUAGACAAUGGGCGCAAGCCUGAUCUAGCCAUGCCGCGUGAUCGAUGAAGGCCUUAGGGUUGUAAAGAUCUUUCAGUGGGGAAGAUAAUGACUGUACCCACAGAAGAAGCCCCGGCUAACUCCGUG
rnacentral:rRNA from 1 species